GGCAGACAUUAGUUGAGGAGAAGCUAAUGUCACCUUGAAUUGACGACAAACAGUUCUUAUCUUCUCGAAUUAACGAAGAUAAGUACCAUUUUUCUUUAAUUCAAGGUAAUAUAAAAAGAAAUUAUACCUGUACAGUGUUCAGAUGUAGCAAUCCUAUGCAAUCGGCCAAAUGAUGUGUGUCCUCUCAAAGAUCUGUAUAUCCAUUACAGACUAAUCUUCAGUCUUGCAGAAAAUGAUAUGUUGACUACAAUUUCCCAUACUACUAAAAAACACAAAUAAUUCUAUCUACAAACCAAAUAAUAUGUGCAACUUUAUGCUACAAUGGUAGAAUAAGAUGGUUGUACAGGACGACACAAAGAUUGAGACUUUUUUUUACUUCUAAAAUUCUACACACUUUCGAGCCCUAAAUUUUCCCGGAAACAAAAAAAAGUGAAAGAAGUCGUACCUGGUUUGAGAGAGUGGGACACCAUCGGCGAGUUUGGUGUAGCAGUGAUGGCGGAGAUCUCUGGUGAGAAAGCUAAUAAGAUGGACAAAAUCAUUGAACAAAAAAAACCUCGCUUUUUAAAAUUAAAGUCAACAAAAAUUUGAACAAAGAAAAGAGAACUCAAACCCGAAACAAAUAAGUCGGAGAACUCGCCAGGAAACCCAAAGUUUCUGCAGGAUUGGCGAUUUCCUGAAAACCAAGCUUUUGUAGGUUUAAAAUUUCUUCCCUAAGGCAACAGAUCCAACAUUCCCAACUUUAGCUAUUUCAGCUACAUAAUAGAAAGAAAAAAAAAUUUAUAUAAUUAACUAAUCUGAUUUAAGAUUAAUCGAAAAGCUUGGAAAUUUCAGCUUUAAAAUUACAUGUCAGGCUGCAAAUCUAAUAAAAAGCGUAGAAUUUUAAAAAUGCUGACCUUAAAUACAGAGGCCUUCGCAGGCUGCAAAGAAGCGUUAGAAACCCGAAAAACCGGAUCUCCUGAAACCAAAAACAAAACCAAAUUAACCAUCAUCACCCAUAAUUCGAAGCCACAAACAUAAUCCCCAAAAUUACAACCCAAAAAUUUAAACAAAAAAACCCAUUUAUAAAUCCAAAUUUACACUCCCAAGUGCAAGACUCUAAGCUCCAACUGUUCUUUCUCAACUUUAGCUAUUUCAGCAACAUAACAUAAAUAAAAAGGUCGUACCCAGUGCACAAGGCUCCCGCUUUACGCAGGGUCUGGGAGAGGUGAAUGUCGGCUAGCCUUACCCCCAUUUUAUGGAGAGGCUGCUCCCAAGUCUCGAACCCGAGACCUACCGCUCAUGGGCGAAGACACUUGCCAUCGCACCAAGUGCGACCUCUAGCAACAUAACAUAAAUAAAAAGAUCGUACCCAGUGCACAAGGCUCCCGCUUUACGCAGGGUCUGGGAGAGGUGAACGUCGGCUAGCCUUACCCCCAUUUUAUGAAGAGGCUGGAACAUAACAUAAAUAAAUAAACAAAAUUAAUUUAACUAUAAUUAACUAAUAUGAUUUAAGAUUAAUCAAAAAACUUGGAAAUCUGCUUGAAUCCAAUCUCAAAAUUGAAAACGAACACUUCACUUUUACAAAAGUUGUACAAAGCAAAAAAAAAAAAACAGACAAAUCAAAGUCUCACAAAGGGCCACAACGACAGCAAAAUUGCAACAGAAAGAGGAAAAAUGUUCAAUCAAACCAUUGGAUAACUCUUCUAAGGCAGCCAAAAAAAAACCCACAAAUUCAAAACCACAAAAAUCCAAUCUAAAACAUCGAUUCACAGACUGAGAUGCACAAAAUGAUAUAUUAACAAAUCCAAAACGAAAUACAAAAAUUAAGAACCAACAAGCAAAAAAAUACUGAUUAUCCCCUGCAUACGUGAGCACACGUUCAAAAAGCCUCUCAAAGGCUGAGAUUCAACUUUCAAACAUAAAGACUUUAAGCCACAAUUGUUCUUUCUUAACUUUAGCUACUUCAGUUACAUAAUCGGAAAAAAAAAAUUAUUUAAUUAUAGUUAACUAAUCUGGGUUAAGAUUAAUAAAAAAGCUUGGAAAUUUCAGAUCUAAAAUCACACCUCAGGCUGCAAGUAGAAUCAAAACCAUGGAAUUUCAAAAUCACUGACCUUAAACACACAGGUCUUCGCAGGCUUCAAAGAAAAGUCACAAACUCGAAAAACCCAAUCUCCUGAAAUCGAAAACAAAACCAAAUUAACCAUCAUCACCUAGAAUCCGAAGCUACAAAACAAAAUUCCCAAAAUCAAAACCAAAAAAUUUGAACAAAAAACUCAUUUAAUAUCCAAAUUUACACUCCCAAGCACAUAACAUUCAAAGCAGACAAUUACCCAAAUCAAAUCGACAGCAGGAGAUGCAAUCUUUUAUGGGCUUCAAAUUUUCUUCAAACCGAGACCAAAUUCGCUAGUUUUCAGCAAGAGAGCGUUGCCGUUUGUAACCCCCGAUGAAAAGAUCCAAACAAAUUUGACUAACAGUAGACAGAGAGAGAGAGAGAUAGAGAGAGAGAGGUGAAAAUUACUCGCUGGUGACGAAGCUAAUGAAUUCGGAGACGCAUUCCUGGACGGUGUUCGACUGAUCGGCACGAGUAGAGACACCAGAUCAGAAAGACAGAAAAAUUAGGGUUUGGGAGAUAAAGAAACUGGGGCAGAGAGAGAGGGAAAGAGAAGCAGAAAAGAGGAUAAUUUUAUGCAUUUUUUUUAGCCGCUUUGAAUUUUUUUUGGCCGACAGGCAUUUGCGUCCGAUUAUUUUUGUCGAAGCCGGUGACACCAAAACCGGCCUCCGGCUUUCGGACCAGGAUUGUCUGCCCCUUCAUUUUCCCUGCCAUGU
rnacentral:lncRNA from 1 species